rnacentral:rRNA from 1 species
CCCUUAGAUGUUCUGGGCCGCACGCGCGCUACACUGAUGCACUCAACGAGUCUCACCUUGGCCGAAAGGUCCGGGAAACCUUUAAACUUGCAUCGUGAUGGGGCUAGAUUAUUGCAACUAUUAAUCUUUAACGAGGAAUACCUAGUAAGCGCAUGUCAUCAGCGUGCGUUGAUUACGUCCCUGCCCUUUGUACACACCGCCCGUCGCUCCUACCGAUUGAAUGAUCCGGUGAGCUUUUUGGACAGUGGCACCGGCAGUGGUUCGCCACUCUGGCGCUGCGGGAAGAUGCGCAAACCUUAUCAUUUAGAGGAAGGAGAAGUCGUAACA